rnacentral:lncRNA from 1 species
AGAGCUUGUUCUAAAGCCUAAGUGAGCUAAUGUGAAAGGAUUUUUCCUCAAGGGUCUAGCACACAGUGAGCUCUCUGUAAAUACGAAGUUAUCGUAAUUUGUAUUUAAAUGAGCAGAGCAGAGACCUAGAGCCUUCCAGAUGGAGUGACUCUAAAGAGAAAGUAGAGAUUCCGGAGCAGUUAUAUUUUAUUCUACAGCCAGGUACUGCCAAUGGGAAUGAAGUGACGGGACAGGGGCAAUGUGGCUUAUCCAUGUCCACUUCCAGAGAUGCAGCCAACCUCAGGAGGAGCCAGAGAACAAAAACAGGCAGCCGUGUGAUAGCGAGAUCUUCAUAAAACCUGUUCCUGAAGGCAGACAGCAGAGCAUUCCACAGUUUAUUUAUUGGCUGCAGUGCCUCCCUCCCUCCCUCCUCUUCUAUUCCUUCCUCCAGCUCUGUUAGAUAUUUGCAAUUCAUUUGUAUCUGAUGUUCUCUCUGAAACAACCACUGAAAUAAGAUGAGAUUCCUUUUUUCUCUUGCCAGGUCAACAUUCCAGUAUCCUGUUUUUUUCCUAACAGAGCACAGUUAUGAAUGCUAUGUAACAAUAUAAUUUAACAUUCAUGCCAG